rnacentral:tRNA from 1 species
GGGGACAUAGUUCAGUGGUAGAGCACUUGCCUAGCAUGCAUGGGGGCCUAGGUUCAAUCCCCAGUACCA